AGCAUGUGGUUUAAUUCGAUGCAACGCGAAGAACCUUACCUACUCUUGACAUCCAGAGAACUUUCCAGAGAUGGAUUGGUGCCUUCGGGAACUCUGAGACAGGUGCUGCAUGGCUGUCGUCAGCUCGUGUUGUGAAAUGUUGGGUUAAGUCCCGCAACGAGCGCAACCCUUAUCCUUUGUUGCCAGCGGUUCGGCCGGGAACUCAAAGGAGACUGCCAGUGAUAAACUGGAGGAAGGUGGGGAUGACGUCAAGUCAUCAUGGCCCUUACGAGUAGGGCUACACACGUGCUACAAUGGCAUAUACAAAGAGAAGCGACCUCGCGAGAGCAAGCGGACCUCAUAAAGUAUGUCGUAGUCCGGAUUGGAGUCUGCAACUCGACUCCAUGAAGUCGGAAUCGCUAGUAAUCGUAGAUCAGAAUGCUACGGUGAAUACGUUCCCGGGCCUUGUACACACCGCCCGUCACACCAUGGGAGUGGGUUGCAAAAGAAGUAGGUAGCUUAACCUUCGGGAGGGCGCUUACCACUUUGUGAUUCAUGACUGGGGUGAAGUCGUAACAAGGUAACCAAGGGCGAAUUCCAG
rnacentral:rRNA from 1 species